AACACUACUGAAAAAACCUGGAUAUACGCUCGUACUUAUUUAGGAGAAUCAGAUUUAUAUUGCAGCUAUUAUUAUAAAGAUUUACUGGAGAAAGUAGUCGACUAUUAUAUUUACUUUUUCUUCUAUGGGAAUCGUUGGUGCAAGAUAUUGCAAUAUGCCGAGCUUUGUGGUGGGUGCUCGCAGGGACUUCCUUGUAUGGAUAUACGCGAGAAUGUAGGAGACACGGCUGUGAGAAAGUAUCUGAUGUAUUGGAAUUCCACUGAAAACUGUGGCAUUUAUACCUUAUAUUUAGAAAACAGACGAGAGUGUGAAUUGCACAUAAGAGAUGACGCGCUGCCAAAGACACGCAAUCAAAGGCAGUCUGCUGUGCCUUGUGCAAGACAGUUCUUCGACUAUUGCCCAAAAGAUAACUAUACUGAAAUAGUUUACUACCUCAACAGUUGUAAAGCAAAAAUAGGCGAGUGGCCUACGCAGUGCACAAGCUGAGCAGACAGGUGCAAUUGCUUUAUCACGAUCACAUACAGAAUCCAACGUAAAUAAUUGACCAUACUUAUCGGACGAGAAAAAUUGACAUCCAACUUCUAAGCCGAAAUAAAUGUGCC